ACUCCUACGGGAGGCAGCAGUAGGGAAGUCUUCCACAAUGGGCGCAAGCCUGAUGGAGCAACACCGCGUGAGUGAAGAAGGGUUUCGGUCUCGUAAAGCUCUGUUGUUAAAGAAGAACACGUAUGAGAGUAACUGUUCAUACGUUGACGGUAUUUAACCAGAAAGUCACGGCUAACUACGUGCCAGCAGCCGCGGUAAUACGUAGGUGGCAAGCGUUAUCCGGAUUUAUUGGGCGUAAAGAGAGUGCAGGCGGUUUUCUAAGUCUGAUGUGAAAGCCUUCGGCUUAACCGGAGAAGUGCAUCGGAAACUGGAUAACUUGAGUGCAGAAGAGGGUAGUGGAACUCCAUGUGUAGCGGUGGAAUGCGUAGAUAUAUGGAAGAACACCAGUGGCGAAGGCGGCUACCUGGUCUGCAACUGACGCUGAGACUCGAAAGCAUGGGUAGCGAACAGGAUUAGAUACCCUGGUAGGAUAGCG
rnacentral:rRNA from 1 species